UUUUUUUAUGUUCUCAUGUUUCUUUUUUUUCUAAAAAUUCCAAAAAAAAAAAUAAUGGAGUUCAGAUUUUUUGUGAGAGAAAGGGAUUUCAACAAGAUGAAGAUUUUUUAUUUUUCUCUGUGGGAUUUCAGUUUAUGGCAAAUGAGUUAAGUUUUUUUUUUUUUUUCAUUUAAUUUUUCAUUUUUCUUUCUUUUCUUUCCUAUCAUUUCUUGUACAUGUGUAAACCAACGUGGCAAAUACAUUGAUGACAAAUCAACUACUUAUAACACGUUAACGCGAGUGUAUUUCACACUAAAUCUUCAAUUUGCUCAGGGUACAAAAACUACAAAAAAAGCAACUUAAGGGCACAAGCAGUCCCCCGCAAAAUUGAGGGGGGGCACAAAUGACAAUUUAAGAAUAGUUCGGAAGAAAAUUAUGCAUUCGGGCAUUUUAAAACCAUGAUUUUAAAAAUACCAAUUGACCAAGUGACUAAAUGAAGAAAUAAGGAAUACCAAAUCAUUAUGGUCUGAAGUUUUCCAAUUACCUUUUACCUUUUUCUUGUGUUUUGUUCUCCAUCUGCUCAACCUCUUGUUUUAUGUUGUCCUUCUGAUCAUUCUUCUAUUGAUUGAGGUUUUCACUCCAGUCAGCAUGAUAAUGCUGAAGGCUUGAUGAAGUUACAGAGGCCAUUACAUUGACUUGAUAAAGUUACUGCCAAUGGAAUCCUAGGUAAGGUGCCUAUCUCUAUUUCUAUUUUGCAGUGUAGAUAAUCGGGUUCAUACAUAGCUUUCUUGAGCUUUCUCCCUUCAACAAAAAUAAUGAAUAUAAUUUUCAGUUGGUGGACAAGCAAAACAUUGCCCCGCAACCCAGCAAUCGAAUUUUUAAUGCUUCGCCCAGUCAACAAAACCCCUAAGAUUCUAUCAUAAUUUGAAAUGAAAUAAACAAAUGAAAUUACGAAGGUUAGGGAAAAUAUCGAGACAACUUGGCAAUGUAUUGAUAUGGGGAAAAAAAAAAAAAAAAAACACACCUCUGCUCCUUUUUGCUUCAUUUAUUUAUAUACUAAAGUGGUAAAAUUUAUAAUAUCACUGCGUUGGUGAUGCAGACCAACUAGAAUUAAUAUUUUAUCCCAACAUAUUCUGUCAGCAACCUUGAAAAAAUGAAGGUCAAUCUCAGUGCAUUGCCUUUUCCAUACAAUAGUGUGCAUCGUCGUUUAACUUUGGAUGGCAAGAUCCUGCAGGAGACAUUGCAAAAUUCUUCAAAUAUUAUUCUUAAAAUAAAUAGGAAACUGUCUUGCUUUUCUUUUACAAACACCAGGUAAUUGACUUAUCUUUCCUCAUACCACAUUUGUUACAAUGGAAGAAAUUUUCCCUCCCUCCAUUUCUGUAAGAAGGAAAUGAAUGGGUUAGGGUAUUUCAAAUAGCAAUAGCUUCUGAAGGAAUCAAUCACUAGGCCAUGAAAAUAUUACUUAAUCCAGUGAUUUAGACAUCACAACUUAGCAACAAAUUUGGCGAAACCAGUAUGGACAAGGAGUAGUUUAGGAAUUUUCUUUCAUGAAGAACAGAGGAUAUCACUAUGAUGAUUAUGGGACGUAGAGAUGCAUGAUUACGCUAGGAAUGAACUGAGACAAUGGUAAAGAAAAUGAACAUUCUACCUGCAAAUUUCACAUUCAUCACAAUGGUAUUGAUUCUUUGAAACCUGAAAACAGCAAUCCAGUAGAAUAAUCAGUAAACAUGGUCUAAAUUAGCAGUAAUACAAGUCAGAUAGAUAAACACUGAGAAGCAAGGAAGAAAAGUACAUCAUUGUCGAACAAUUUGCACUUUGCACAAAAGUACUUUCCCAUACAAACACCACAUCUAAUGCAAUUCUGCUGAACCUGAUUGAAUACAUCAUAAGAAAAUUAAGAACCCAGGAGAAUUUUAACAGAUCACUAAAUUAUCUUUGACUUGCACCAUCUUAUUUUAUACACUUACAUCUUGUUCUGUGCCACAAAGGGAGCAGAUAACCUGAAAGACAAAGGAAAUAGGACAGAAUUAGAAAACAAUACAAGACAGCUCGAGGAACAAAAUAACCUUCAAAUCAUCCCUGUCCAAUAAAACAGAAGUACAGACAACCAUGUUUUUGUACCAGCAGCGCAGAUAAGUUCUGCAUUUUAUGAGAAAACUUAGGCAGAAGGCCAAAUUUUAUAAUGUUCUGCACUGCAAAAUGCAAUCCAUGCAAAUAAUUAAAUUGUAUCUAACAUUUUUCAUUUCCAAGUUUGGAUGAGAGGUUUUGUCAAUCUACAAUCUAUCGUUGCCUGACUAACAGGGGAGGAGACAUGUGGAACUAAGUGGAGUCACAUGACCCCAUUUGAAAAUUUCAAAAUACUCCUUAAUCUACAUGCAUUUUAAGUGUAACCCCAUUGAAAGUUUCAAAAGUGAUCGCACUGAAAUUGUUAAAAAUGCAUCUAAAUUUUAAUUAAUUACUGAUCUUUUACCUUAAAAAUUUAAAAUAUAGAGCGACUUUAAGUGUUGACUCUAGUAUAAUUCUCAAAAACCCUGUAUUUUGUAUAUUUUAAGUGGUACCUUCAUUAAGUUCUAAAGUGCUCCACUAGAAUUAAUAAGAUAUCUCUAAUAAUUGAUUUUAAAUUUUUUAUAUAGUGAAAACCAACUAAGAAAUUGAAUGAGAAACUAAUCUUUAAAUGAAUAUUUGAUAUCUUAUAUAUCAAAAAUCGUAUAGUUAAUAAUAUUGAUAAUGACAUAUUUAUGCAACAGAGUCAAAAUAUAAAAUUACGUUAAAUAUAUAUAUAUAUAUAUAUAUAUAUUACAACUAUUAACUCGAAUUUCUUGUAUGCUAUUUUCGAGCUAUCUUACUCACACCAAAACUAAAUUUCUUUUCCAAGCAAACUUAUGUUUUACAUGAAAAUGGUAUAUUUAACAACUAUACACAUUGAAUUUGCUUUUAUAAAAUAUUAUAAUGUCUUAUUAUUUUAAGAUAUUAUAAUAUUACUAAAUAUUUAUUUAAUAAUAUAAAAAAUAUUUGUGAUCCACUACUCAAAAUUCUUGGCUUAGCCACUAUUGACAAAUAACCUUUAUCAAUAGUCAUGGGCUAAAGUAGAAAUGGACAGGACACAUUCCUAGUUUACCUCCACUCUUUUGAGUUGACCUUCACAUUAAGUCCUCUUUUUUUCCCAAUCUACUUUGGACAUCAAUGCUUAUUAGCUGCUUCUCAAAGUUUCAAAUUCAAACUAUUCAAGUAUUCAUCACAAUCUCAUCAGACUAUUUGAAGUUCCAUCAUAAUUAUUCCAUUAGAUAGACCUUUCAUUCAAAUUACUAUUAUUACUACUACUACUUAAAAAGGGUAAAAAUUAUUAGAUUUACCAGAAGUUUGAAUAAAACUCAAACCUUUAUGACUUCAUGGCUUGGUAUACAGUGUUUAUCACAAAGAUUAGUUUCCAUUGCAUUCUGCCAAUAAAAAUACAACAAUAAAAAAUAACUAAUAUUUAACCAAGAAUAAAAAUAAUUAGCCAAAAUAAAAUCCAUAAACACAGGUUGGGUUGCAGAAGAAAGGAUACAGUUGCUGUACCUUGGCUUCAUCAUGGCGGUGCCAACAAUCAAAAGUGCCAUUGCAACAAGGUGCUCUAAUUUUGCAUCUGCUUCUAUAAUGUGAGCAUCUAAAUCCACCAGAGAACAGUGCAUGAUAGUAGCAACAAAACUUUCCAUUAGCAAAAAGCCAAGGAACUAGACGGAAAUAUCAACAAAAAAUAUGAAUUUGAGUAUUAUCAAAGCUCCCAUACCCAAAAUCAUCAGAUACAAACUCUAUGGGAGACACAUGAUCAACAGGUUCGCUAGGAUUUGAUUGGACCUCAAUUUUAGUCUCCAUUCUCUUUGACAUUUGAACAUUCUGCUCUAUCUUCCUAGUCAACUCUUGUCUAUGAUCCACAGAUCCAAGCUCCAUCGAUGAUAAACUUGCAUCUCCAAAUUGACUGAGAUCAGAGUGAUGCUGAAUUUCAGCCCUUGCUCUGGUCUCUUGACAAUUGACCUCCUCCAUCUUUCUUCUCAAUUAGAACAUGUAAAAAUAAAUUGAACAAUAAUAAUCAACAUCCAGUACCUAUUACAAUUGCUGUUUCAUUUAACUAGAUCAUGAAAAUGUACCUGAUUAUUUUGGAGAUGAGCACACACAAGAGGAAGAUGAAAGGUAGAAGGGACAUGUUGAUAGGGUUAUCUAAAUUGUGAAGGGCAUAUAUAUAUUGCACCAUUGAGUAAAUGCACUGCCAGACAGCACAGGUUAAUCCAAAAAUAUGAACAAUUACAAAAAGUUCGCUAGGUGGGGAAUUAUCAGUCAAGCGACAAUAAAAACAAGUUGACCGGCCCCUUUCCAAUGUGAUAAGUCCUUCUCUACGAGCCAUGUUAACUAGCUCAAGUGUAGAAAUAAAUAAAGCCACAAAUGACAGUACCAUGCCCACUAACAGAUAACCAAGCUGGUCGAGAAGAGCUGAGACACCCUCUAGAAGCAGGCUCCCCAUCAAAAGAAUCCAUUCUGUUGUUUCCUGUAGAAAAGACAUUAUAACUAAGAUAUUUCAAAACAAUCAUGAUGAAAAAAACUUGCAGUUCACGAUUGACGGUGCCCAGUUCAAUAUUGCACUAAGUCUCUCCCUGGGUUGUCAUGUUGUCUGUUUUAGGCCAUUGGAUGCCCAUACUGUUUGCUGUUUGUUCUUUGAGAAAGAAGUGCUCUAGGUGAAAGGUGUUAGUCUUACAGACCAAGACCUAUACCUCCUUUACUCUCUCUAUGAUACUUUGGCAUCAUCAAUAAUCAAAUUAGAAGGAAUAGUUGUAUUUACUAUUCAAGGUCUUACAACACUUGUAGGUGAACUCUCUCCAGUUUCUGGAUCAAUUUUAGUGCGAGCAUUUCUGGGUGUAACAGGACUUUGACCCUGGAUCCAGCCUUCAUUCAAAUCCUGAACAGGAAUUAUCAAAUCCUGAACAGGAAUUAUUUGAAUAAUCUCUUGUUGCUGCUCUGAUAAUUGAAGAGUUGGCUGUGUGCUGCUUUCUUGUUUAUGAUCUUUCUUGUAGGAGGAGUACUGGCAUGUAGCUUUUAUUACUACUUCUUCCUCUUUCUGUAUCUCUAUCUUCCUCUCCUCAACAAGUUUCUUUAAUCUUUUCUUCAUGGUCUCUGUUAGUACCUUCACAUCAAUGGUUGCUUUGACUGUUAUAGUUUCUUCCCCCUUAUUAACUAUGACCUCCUCUACUCCUGUAAUAUGACAUAUAAUUGCCCAUUAAAGUGUUAUGCUUAUUGCUGUAUUAAUGCAAAAGGUCAAUUAAUGGAGAAACAAAAUUGGAAGUUCAAUAAUACUGGAGAUACAGAAAGGGUCGGAAGGUGUUGAAAGAUUAAAAUGUUACCUCUGAUUCUGCGGAUAAUUUUACGGAUCUGCCUGAUGCAUCCAUCACAAUGGAGUGGCACCUUGAAUACUGUCAUUGUUGCUGAAGCCUAUGUCACCAAAAAAAAUUGAAAUUCAAAGAUAAGAAUGCAAAUAUUGAUCACAGUAUGAAUAGAUGCCUUUCACAUUUCAAAUGAAUGAAGCAGCCUAGAUUACAGAGGAAAUAGAUAAGGUACAGAAAACUCAACCCUGCAUGAGUUUUGGCUCUUAAUUGUUGAAAUUAAAAAGGAUUUUAACUGACAUAACAAUUUGAGUAAAUCCUAUUGUUAGUUUAUGAAAGAUUGAAUCUCAUUCAUACAUACAUGCAUACGUUUUACUUAGCCUACUUGAAAGAUUUUUGAGACAAUAACAAUUAAGCUUUAAUCCCAAACUAGUUGCGUUCAGCUAAGUAAAAUUUGAGACAGACUUUUGAGACAUUACAUAAAAUUUGAUGAUACUCUCAUUUGAAAGCUCUAAAGAAAGGCAAAGAACAAAUAAUAGACAUUUAUACGCGGCGAAGCAAAAUAUAAAGGACACAUAAUAAUGACUCCAAAAAGUUCAAAAUCUGCAAUGAGAAUACCUUUUCUGGUCCCAGCUUCAUUAUGCUUUCUUCCAUCUCAAUACCAGUAAUCCCAUUCUCUUGACCGCCACUACCUUUCUUCUUCUUUCCAUCAUCCCUGCCGAACCCACUGCCUUUGACACUUCCAUUGCUGGAUUUCUCUUUUUCAAUUGACAAGAUCUCAAUAGGUAUAUUCAGUCUCUUCUUCAGAUUCUCAUUUAACACCUUUGGGUCCAUGGUCCCUUUGAUUGUCACUGUUUCCUUCUGUUCAUCCUCUGACAUCUCUUGCACACCUGAAAUGAAUUGAAUUCUGUCAAGACUUACAGUUCCCUGACCCUCCAUCGAUGAAACGGAUACAAUAAGACGCAACUAACAAGGUCAUGAAUUACCAAUUGUGUCUUCGACGAUCUUUCUAAUCUUCGGGCCGCAUCCCUGGCAGUUGUGUCCCAGCUUGACCACAAAAAUUGUUCUCUCCAAGGACUGUACCCCAUUAAAAUUUGAAAUUAAUACUCAAUUACUCGCAAACAACAAAUAAUAAACAAACACGAAUACAAUCUUCAUUAGCUUGAAAACUUUAAAUUGGGCAUUAAUUUCUUAGAGAUUAAUAAAUGGCUAUGCAAGUAAAAGGAAGCUGUACUUAAGCUAUUAAAAAUAGUACCUGUUUCUCAAACGAUAUCUUGUCAUCUCUGUUGCCGUCAGCGGCGGUGUCACAAAUCCGGGGCUGAGCAGAGACAAUGCUGACAUUCUUCUUGAUCUUCAGGCGGAGAUAUUCUUGAAUCUCCAAGGAGUUCACUUUACCUUCCACAGUCAACUUGUUUGAAUUUACAUCUGCUGUCACAUUCUCUACACCUGAAUUAAAGGAAAAAAAUCAAGAUAAUAAAUAAAAUAAAUCUGAGUAGUUGAAACAAAAAAAAAAUAGAGAAAAUGAGGAAAUAUUUGAAAAAAUAAAUUCUAAAAACAGAGAACAUUAUGAAUUUUUCAUAAUUUAUAAAAUAAAAAAAUUAAUAAUAAUAAUUCAAUUUAAAUAGUUCAAAAUCAAUAAAUUGCAGGCUGGGAUAAUUGGAGAUGGCAAUAACAAUAAUAAUAAUAAUAAUAAUAGUAAUUAUUCAAAAAAAUAGGGAAAAUGCAUGAAAUAUAUACAUGAAAAUGAAAUACCUUUGAAGUUGCGAGCAUGAGCGAUAAUCUGAGAAGAGCAUCUUUCACUAUUCAACUCAACCUCUAAAACGACGACGGAUAUGGUACUGAUAGUCGUUUCCAUCAUGACUGAUAAAUUGAAUUAAAUUAAGAAGAGAAAAAAUUUGAAGCAAACUGAACAGAAAUACAUAGCUGUGAAUCUCUGUUUAUUGUAAUUGCUUCUGCUAAAAUAUGGAGAAGACAAGAACAGUAGUCCAUUGACUGCUCAAGACUCAAGUCAAUCACAAAAAAAAAACAAUUCCUCUUUUUCUUUCUUCUCUUUUUUCUAACAGCUGCGUUCUAUUAAAGCAUGCAGUACAAAAUCUUCAAUGAUUGUACUCUUUCAAUCAGUGGCGUUUGACCCUUCCUUUUUCUUAAUUUUCUUCUAAUAUACAUGUAUUUUUUCAAUUCAUCCUCUUAACAUUCCCAAUAACUUUCUUUAUUUUAGUUUAUUAUAUAUUGAUCCUAGAAAAUUUUAUUCAUAAAUCCGCCGCUGCUUUCAAUAUGCGUUUGAAAGCCAAUACUUUUUUUUGGUAAAUUUAGCGAAUAUUUUUAAUUUUAUUAAAUAUUACCUCGAAUUUAUUUUUCUUAUUAAUUAUGAUUUUCGUACAGAAUUCAUUAAUUUAUUUCUUAUUUAAAUGUUAAUUAGACCUACAACACAUAAGCUCACAUUCACGUGGCCAUUUUUUAAUUAUUCAUCUUUAUUUUUAUAAUUUUUAAAUUGAAAAAUUGCAAUAUUUGAGACAAUAUUUUUCUCAUUUCACCAUAGGCUUGAAAGAAUUCGAACGGGCUAAAUAAUUAACAGACUCUUAAUAGACCAUCGGUGAGCAACUCGCAUCAUUAACAAUCCCCAAAUAUGCCAAAUAGAUUUUUUUCGCUCCCAUAAUUACAUCACUUUACUACAUCCAGUCAAACUCUAAAUAAAAGAUAUAAUUGACAAUAAAAAUAAAAUACAGAGUAUAUUCACAAAAUUAAAAGUAUUUGAGAAAUUUGAAAAGAAAUUCAAAAAGUAAUGUCGGCAAAGUUUAUUAUUAAAUAUGACCUUUUCUUUUUCAGUAGCGACGUCAUUUAAUAGCAUGGUGAACUUGGUCACCAAGUUGUUGCUAAGCACUGUAGGUUGCUUGGCCACAACUGCAACAAGUAAUCUAACCGCCUAACACUAUUCCUUUGAAUCACAUUUUAAAACCUUUCCAUUCUACUACGUACUUUCCUCAAAAACCCUAAUAAUUGAUUUAGAGGCAAGAAUGGCUAUGGCGAUGGAGGAAGAUGAAGAUCUUUCCAAGAAGUGUUGUGGGAUUAUAGUUCCACGUCUUGAAAACAUCGUAUCAACGGUAAACCUAGACUGCAAACUUAGCCUUCAACGCAUUAUUCUCAAAGCAAGAAAUGCAGAAUUCAACCCCAAUCGUUUCUCUGCUGUUAUUAUGAGAAUUAAAAAACCAGAAAGCACUUCUCUCAUUUUUGCAUCUGGAAAGCUGGUAUGGAACGGUGCCAAGACUGAAGAAGAAUAGAAGAUGGCUGCGAGAAAGUUUGCAAGAAUCAUCCAGAAAUUAGGGUUUCCGGCCAAAUUUAGGGAUUUUAAGAUCGAGAAUAUAGUGGCUUCUUGUGAUGUUAAGUUUCCUAUAAAACUAGAGAGGUUUGCACGCAGUCCACAUGAAGGGUAUUCUACGUAUGAACCGGAACUCUUUCCGGGUCUUGUUUAUCGCAUGAAGAAACCGAAGAUUGUAAUGCUAAUUUUUGUUUCUGGAAAGAUUAUAAUCACUGGAGCCAAGAAAAGCCGAUAUACUUUCACUGCAUUUGAAAGUAUUUAUCUUGUUCUUGCAGGCUUCAAGAGGUAAUAAUCGUCACUCGAAGGAUUUUUCUUUUUUAAGUGCUUUCGAAGGAAUUUUCUUGAAGCAUUUAUCCUCUUCCAGGCUUCAAGAAGUAAUAAAUUAAUUAUCAUCACAGUAAUUGUCUUUGUUUUUUUUUUUAACAAUACUAUAAUACUUAUUAGUUGUUGAUUGUUGGAUGUCUUUAUGUAUUUUACAUUACUAUAUUAAUUAAUGGAUUAGGUUUGAAUUUCAAUAUGCUGUUUGAUCAUAUAUAUUUUUAUAGAUUGAAUUGUAAAUUGAGGUGUAAUUAGAUUAUCAUUGUUAAGCAUUUUAUAUUAGUUAUUUAAUCGUGUUAAUUCAUUCUUCAUGAAUCGAAUGUACUACCUCUCUUUCAUAAUAUUUAUUACAUUUGGAAUUUUACGGUUUUUAAGAAAACCAUUAAAUUUGUUUAAAUUCCAAUAAAUUAUUAAAUAAAUUGACUAAAUUACCUUUAAUUUAAUACUAAUUCUCUAAGAAAAUCAUUAAAUUGAAAUAAUAAUUAUUAGUUAUAUCAAAGGAUUAACAUGAAAAAAAUGGAUUUAUUACUCCUUAAAACCACAAAUAUGACAAAUAUUUUGAAAUAAAUUAUUUUCUGAAAUGUGACAAAUAUUAUAGAAGGGAGGUAAUAACAUUUAUUAGUCCAUAAAUAGUAUGGCUAGUUGCUCCUUGUAUCGAUAUUCUCAUAUAUCAAAUAUAGGUUAUCUUAUACUGCUAAAAAUAUGCUAAGUAUUUUCUAUUCCUUUCUAUAAUGUGAAUUAAUAUAUGUUAAUGAGCUUUGGGGGACAACAUUGUUAACAAACGUCAACUAUAUAAUAAUGUCUUUGUUAUUUUGUUCCUUUUUCUUAAUUCAACUAUUAGUAAUUUCCAUUACCAUACCCUGCUGACAAUUUAGCAUAGGUUAAAGAUAUGAAUGCCUGACAUUUAUUCAAUCCAAGCCAUGUAAAAGACAGCAGACACAACCUUCGACACAACAAAAUAUAAUAAAAAGCUCAUGUCUAGCCAAACCCUGCAGAGAACAUUAGAAGUUGAGAAUAUAUAUGACAAGAGAAGACAAUGAACAGAGUUUGCAUAUGCUCAUCUCGCCAUCUGGCCAUCCAUAUAUAAUGCAUAAUUGCACAUAUAUAUACAUAUGGCUAAACAUGCAAUUAAUAAUAUAAAUUCAGCACUCAACCUUAUUACUUUACUCACAUUAUAUUUUCAAUAUUAAAGGUGAUAAAUUGUAUUCUUAAAAUUACUUUCAAUUUUAAAAGAGAUAUAUUGUAUUUCUAAAAUUACGAAUUUUAAUAACAUUACACGGUUGUUUAUAUUCAUAAUUUUUAUAAUUUUUAACUUUUAUACCAAAAUAUUGUUUUAAUGUGCUGUCGACAUAAUUUUUGCAACAAUAAUUUCACAUUUUUUGAACUAUUUAAUAAAUAUUUAAUAAAUCUAAUUUUAUAAGUUAAAGUGUUUAAUAAAAUAAUUUUACAAGGUAAAUAUUUAAUAAGUAUAAUUUUAUAAUUUAAAAUAUUCAAUGGAUAGAAGAAAUGUUGAGGGUGUUAGGGGCGAGCAUUCUGCGAAUUCAGCCGAUUUGAAUAAUUUUUUUACCAAAGUUUUUUAAAUGAACUAUUUUUUUGCCUUAACCGAACUCGACCGAACAAAUAUUUUAAUCGAAUUAAUUUUGAUUACACCAAGUUGUUGCUAAGCAUUAGGGUUUCCGGCCAAAUUUAGGGAUUUUAAGAUCGAGAAUAUAGUGGCUUCUUGUGAUGUUAAGUUUCCUAUAAAACUAGAGAGGUUUGCACGCAGUCCACAUGAAGGGUAUUCUACGUAUGAACCGGAACUCUUUCCGGGUCUUGUUUAUCGCAUGAAGAAACCGAAGAUUGUAAUGCUAAUUUUUGUUUCUGGAAAGAUUAUAAUCACUGGAGCCAAGAAAAGCCGAUAUACUUUCACUGCAUUUGAAAGUAUUUAUCUUGUUCUUGCAGGCUUCAAGAGGUAAUAAUCGUCACUCGAAGGAUUUUUCUUUUUUAAGUGCUUUCGAAGGAAUUUUCUUGAAGCAUUUAUCCUCUUCCAGGCUUCAAGAAGUAAUAAAUUAAUUAUCAUCACAGUAAUUGUCUUUGUUUUUUUUUUUAACAAUACUAUAAUACUUAUUAGUUGUUGAUUGUUGGAUGUCUUUAUGUAUUUUACAUUACUAUAUUAAUUAAUGGAUUAGGUUUGAAUUUCAAUAUGCUGUUUGAUCAUAUAUAUUUUUAUAGAUUGAAUUGUAAAUUGAGGUGUAAUUAGAUUAUCAUUGUUAAGCAUUUUAUAUUAGUUAUUUAAUCGUGUUAAUUCAUUCUUCAUGAAUCGAAUGUACUACCUCUCUUUCAUAAUAUUUAUUACAUUUGGAAUUUUACGGUUUUUAAGAAAACCAUUAAAUUUGUUUAAAUUCCAAUAAAUUAUUAAAUAAAUUGACUAAAUUACCUUUAAUUUAAUACUAAUUCUCUAAGAAAAUCAUUAAAUUGAAAUAAUAAUUAUUAGUUAUAUCAAAGGAUUAACAUGAAAAAAAUGGAUUUAUUACUCCUUAAAACCACAAAUAUGACAAAUAUUUUGAAAUAAAUUAUUUUCUGAAAUGUGACAAAUAUUAUAGAAGGGAGGUAAUAACAUUUAUUAGUCCAUAAAUAGUAUGGCUAGUUGCUCCUUGUAUCGAUAUUCUCAUAUAUCAAAUAUAGGUUAUCUUAUACUGCUAAAAAUAUGCUAAGUAUUUUCUAUUCCUUUCUAUAAUGUGAAUUAAUAUAUGUUAAUGAGCUUUGGGGGACAACAUUGUUAACAAACGUCAACUAUAUAAUAAUGUCUUUGUUAUUUUGUUCCUUUUUCUUAAUUCAACUAUUAGUAAUUUCCAUUACCAUACCCUGCUGACAAUUUAGCAUAGGUUAAAGAUAUGAAUGCCUGACAUUUAUUCAAUCCAAGCCAUGUAAAAGACAGCAGACACAACCUUCGACACAACAAAAUAUAAUAAAAAGCUCAUGUCUAGCCAAACCCUGCAGAGAACAUUAGAAGUUGAGAAUAUAUAUGACAAGAGAAGACAAUGAACAGAGUUUGCAUAUGCUCAUCUCGCCAUCUGGCCAUCCAUAUAUAAUGCAUAAUUGCACAUAUAUAUACAUAUGGCUAAACAUGCAAUUAAUAAUAUAAAUUCAGCACUCAACCUUAUUACUUUACUCACAUUAUAUUUUCAAUAUUAAAGGUGAUAAAUUGUAUUCUUAAAAUUACUUUCAAUUUUAAAAGAGAUAUAUUGUAUUUCUAAAAUUACGAAUUUUAAUAACAUUACACGGUUGUUUAUAUUCAUAAUUUUUAUAAUUUUUAACUUUUAUACCAAAAUAUUGUUUUAAUGUGCUGUCGACAUAAUUUUUGCAACAAUAAUUUCACAUUUUUUGAACUAUUUAAUAAAUAUUUAAUAAAUCUAAUUUUAUAAGUUAAAGUGUUUAAUAAAAUAAUUUUACAAGGUAAAUAUUUAAUAAGUAUAAUUUUAUAAUUUAAAAUAUUCAAUGGAUAGAAGAAAUGUUGAGGGUGUUAGGGGCGAGCAUUCUGCGAAUUCAGCCGAUUUGAAUAAUUUUUUUACCAAAGUUUUUUAAAUGAACUAUUUUUUUGCCUUAACCGAACUCGACCGAACAAAUAUUUUAAUCGAAUUAAUUUUGAUUAUUAACUGUGCAGAAAUUUUUAAAAAGAAAAAAUUAUUUAACAGACCAACUUUAACCGAACGUUAUAAAUAUUAACUGACUUUAACCGAAUCAACCCAACUUCUUCGCUAUACAAAUUUAACUUAAGGAACAUUCAGAUGGUGAAAACAGAACUAAUCAACUUAAAAAAAAAAUAAAAUAAAAUAAAUUGUCAAAACAAAUGCAUAUUUAGCUCAAACAACAAUAACUCAAAUAACAAAUACAUAUUUAGCUCAAACAACAAUAACUCAAAUUUAGCUUCAACCUUCAACAUAUCAAGUCUUCUUUUUUUUUUCCUUCCUCUCAAGCUCCUACAAAGAGCAAAUUAAAUUAAAAUAGGAUAAAAAGUGACCAGCUCAAAUAGAUUAAACAAUUAAUCACAUGAUUAUUAAUUACAGAAACUGGGAUUCAACCAAGAACUCUAAUUACUCGCAUAGGAGCGGCAAAACUAAAUGUAUUAUAGAUAGAAGUAAAAUUGGAAUAAAGCAUCCAUGUUAUGAAAAUGACGUAUAAGUAAAGGUUCAAAACCUAUGAGACACAGAGAAACUGAUUUAGGAUUUGGACACGCAGAUAUGUUUUUUUUUUUUUUUUUUUAUAUAUAAGCAUCUUGAAAAACAAAGAUUUCGACUCUCAAUUUGCUUAAAAAACUUAAACCUGAUGAAUUUAUUGAAUUCAUUUAAUUUAUUGAAUUUACUAAAUAAAUUCAUGAACAAAAAGAUGCAAUACCCAACCCUCAAUUUUUGAGAGAAAAAUUAAUAGUUUUUAGAAGAUCACAAACCAAAUUACUAAGAGAUUGCUUGUUUUUGUUGAAUGCAAAGUUACUAUUUUCAUAAAAACGGAACUGCAGAUCACAGCAACGUCAAUACUGAAGCAGCAUCAUCAGAUCACGGUAAUGCCAAGACAAUCAGCAAAAGCAUUUGCAGAUCGGAAAAUAUGUACGAAAAUUAAUUGAGGAAAGAUGAUCGGGAAGGGAAAAGAAGUGGUUUGAAGCCUACCUGGUGGUUGGUGCACUACGUUCGCCGGAGAUGAGCGAAGGUGAUCGAUGAUGGAGCUAUAAAAUCACAGCUUACCCUACGCUCGAUCUCACAAGAAAGAAAAUGGAAAUAAGAAAAGAUCUCUUGCAGAUUGAGAGAGCGGCUGGAAGGGCAAGCAGCCUUGGUCCAAAGAGAGGGGGCGGUAGCUGAGAGAUUAAGAAUACUUUACUCACAUUAUAUUUUCAAUAUUAAAGGUGAAUAUUAAGGGAGAGUUUAGGAUUCGAUUUUGGUUUUGGGAAAUGGGAGUGAAAUGAAAGAGCAACUUGUGUUUAAGUUUUACUAUUUGUUUCCGCAAAACGACAUGGUUUUGGACAUGGGUUAAUUCGAUUAACUCGAUUUGAUUAAUGGUUAACUGAUUUGUUAAUCGAAAACCAAAAUUAUAAUUUUUUUUAACCCAAUCGAAUUCGCCGAUUUGGCUGAACCGAAUGCUCAUUCCUUGAGGGUGUUAUAAGAUCAAAAUAAAAAAUUUCAAGACCAUUAAUUGAUUUUACAUUAGAAUUAUUUAAUUGAAGAGGUUUUUUUUUUUUUUUUUAGAUAAUAUUUAAUUGAAGAGUGACUGUAAGAAAAAGAAAAUUACAGUUUUAUCUAAUGAUUCUUUAAAUUAUUUUGAUCCAAAUAAAACCAUAGCAUAUCAAAUAAUUAAGAGUUCAAAAUAGCUUGUAAUUUGGUAAUGGUCACAGAACCAGAAAGACAACCAAAUCUUGACAGUUUAGUGUGCUAAAAUUCAUUUUCCUUAUUGAAUUUUGUAAUUAGCCAAACAAACUGAUCAAUAAAAAGGUGAAAAAGAAAAGAAAGAAACAAAAAUGAGCAAAUAUUACCUUGAGCAAAUGCAGGGAAACCACCGCUUAGAUAAAAAGAACAGCCUACAGCUUCCAGAAGAAUUCUUUCACAUGUUGAGCAGCAGUAUAAUAAUGGCGGUUUCUCAGACAUCAUCAUUGCAGGACAUCCAUAGGAAAUUUUCAUUAGCAACACAAACAUAAAAUAUAAAAAGUGAUAACUCAACGGAAAAGUGAUAACAGAGUUGAAUUAAAGAAGAAAUGAACCGGAACAACAAUCACCUUAUGAAGUAGGCUGAGAACUUGGCUGACGUUCCUCUUUGGAAAACCUGAUCUACACAGUUGUUCUUCAUUGUCAACAUGUCUGCCACCAAACCCAAAACCAGGUUCUUCAAUUUCGAUUUUUCAAAUAUCCCUAUAAGCAACUCUGUUUCCAAUACCAACAUUCCCUCAUUCCCUGUUUCAAUUACAAUUUUAAAAAUUUGGCGGAUUGCAUAACCCUUGAACUUUUCUCAAAUUGCAUUUGUGUCUGUCAACUUUGCGAAACCGCUUGUAUUCAUUAAGUUGUUUUUUUUAUAGCUUUUGUACUCCUUGACACGCUGUAAAAGAGCCGUAUAAACUCAGCGUGAACCUUUUAAAUUUUUUCCACCGUAGUAAAAACGAUGUCAUUUACAUUAUCAAAUCAUUUUAACUUCAUCUAUUAUCCCCUUUCUCAGUUUCUCUCUGUAUCUUCUCCUUGUUCUUCUCUAUAAUCAAAAUCAAACCAACCUUUUUAAAUUAUUUUAUGAUUAAUGAAAUCCAAACUACUAGCACAGAUUUGUAUGAUUUGUUUUUAAUUUUUAUUUUUUUCUUGAUAUGAUUUUGGGUAUUGAUAGUCUCUGAAUUGUAUUAUUGAUAUUAUAGGAGAUGUUUUAUCUCAAAUUUAGCAUUGAUUUCAUCAAAGAAAACUCUUUUUAAUUUAAAGUUUUAAAUUUGUUUGUGUUUUUGUGUUUUUAAAUCUAAGUUUGUUUUAUUUUUAUGUUCUUUAUGUUUUUUUUUUUAAUUCCAGAAAAAAAAUAAUGGAGUUCAAAUCUUUUGUAAGAGAAAGGGAUUUCAACAAGAUGGAGGUGUUGAGACUUUUUGAUUUUCCUCUCAGUUUGGGAUUUCGGUUUAUGGCAAAGAGUUAAGAUUUUUUUUCAUUUAAUUUUUCGUUCUUCUCUUUUUUUUUUUUCCCUUCCUAUUAUUUCUUAUACAUGUAGAAACCAACGUGGCAAAUAAAUUGAUGACAAAUCAACUGCUUAUAACACGUUUGUAUUUCACGCAAAAUCUUCAAUUUGCUCAGGGAUACAAAAACUGCAAAAAAAAAAAAAAACUUAAAGGGCAUAAGUGUCCCGCAAAUUGAGAGUCACAAAUGGCAAUUUAAGAAUAGCUGAGGAGAAAAUUAUGCAUUCGGCUAUUUUAAAACCAUGAUUUUAAAAAUACCAAUUGACCAAGUAACUAAGUGAAGAAAUAAAGAAUACCAAAUCAUUAUGGUCUGAAGUUUUCCAAAUACCUUCAUCUUUUUCUUGUGUUUUGUUCUCCUUCUGCUCAACCUCUUGUUUUUAUGUUGUCCUUCUGAUCAUUCUUCUAUUGAUUGAGGUUUUCACUCCAGUCAGCAUGAUGAUGUUGAAGGCUUGAUGAAGUUACAAAGGCCAUUACAUUGACUUAAAAAUCGAAGAGAAGACUUUUUGAAUGCCAAUGGAAUCCUAGGUAAAGUGCCUAUCUCUAUCUCUAUUUUGCAGUGUAGAUAAUCAGGUUCAUACAUAGCUUUCUUGAGCUUUCUCCCUUGAACAAAAAUAAUGAAUAUAAUUUUCAGUUGGUGGACAAGCAAAACAUUGCCCCACAAUCCACCAAUCUAAUUUUUAAUGCUUCACCCAGUCAAC
rnacentral:lncRNA from 1 species